UACGAAGGGGGCGAGCGUUUGUUCGGAUUUACUGGGCGUAAAGGGCGCGUAGGCGGCUUGUCAGUCAGGCGUGAAAGCCCCGGGCUCAACCUGGGAACGGCGCUUGGGACGGCGAGGCUGGAGUUCGGGAGAGGAGAGUGGAAUUCCCAGUGUAGAGGUGAAAUUCGUAGAUAUUGGGAAGAACACCGGUGGCGAAGGCGACUUACUGGACACAUAUUGACGCUGAGGUGCGAAAGCGUGGGGAGCAAACAGG
rnacentral:rRNA from 1 species